AGUCGAACGCUCUGUUUACAGAGAGUGGCGAACGGCUGAGUAACACGUUGGUACCUACCCCGUACUCAGGGAUAACCCACCGAAAGGUGAGCUAAUACCGGAUAGUCCCGAAAGGGUAAAGAUUUUUCGGUACGGGAGGGGCCUGCGGCCUAUCAGCUAGUUGGUAAGGUAAAAGCUUACCAAGGCUAUGACGGGUAUCUGGUGUGAGAGCAUGACCAGACAGAAUGGGACUGAGACACGGCCCAUACUCC
rnacentral:rRNA from 1 species